rnacentral:rRNA from 1 species
AACGAACGCUGGCGGCAGGCUUAACACAUGCAAGUCGAACGCCCCGCAAGGGGAGUGGCAGACGGGUGAGUAACGCGUGGGAAUCUACCCAUCUCUGCGGAAUAGCUCCGGGAAACUGGAAUUAAUACCGCAUACGCCCUACGGGGGACAGAUUUAUCGGGGGUGGAUGAGCCCGCGUUGGAUUAGCUAGUUGGUGGGGUAAAGGCCUACCAAGGCGACAAUCCAUAGCUGGUCUGAGAGGAUGAUCAGCCACAUUGGGACGGAGACACGGCCCAAACUCCUACGGGAGGCAGCAGUGGGGAAUAUUGGACAAUGGGCGCAAGCCUGAUCCAGCCAUGCCGCGUGAGUGAUGAAGGCCUUAGGGUUGUAAAGCUCUUUCACCGGUGAAGAUAAUGACGGUAACCGGAGAAGAAGCCCCGGCUAACUUCGUGCCAGCCGCCGCAGUAA